rnacentral:rRNA from 1 species
UACGGGGGGGAGCAAGCGUUGUUCGGAUUUACUGGGCGUAAGGGGCGCGUAGGCGGUCAGCACAAGUCAGUUGUGAAAUCUCCGGGCUUAACUCGGAAAGGUCAACUGAUACUGUGCGACUAGAGUGCGGAAGGGGCAACUGGAAUUCUUGGUGUAGCGGUGAAAUGCGUAGAUAUCAAGAGGAACACCUGCGGCGAAGGCGGGUUGCUGGGCCGACACUGACGCUGAAGCGCGAAAGCCAGGGGAGCGAACGGG